rnacentral:rRNA from 1 species
GAUGAACGCUAGCGGCAGGCCUAAUACAUGCAAGUCGGACGGGAUCUAUCGGAGAGCUUGCUCGAAGAUAGUGAGAGUGGCGCACGGGUGCGUAACGCGUGAGCAACCUACCCAUAUCAGGGGGAUAGCCCGGAGAAAUCCGGAUUAAGACCGCAUAACACUGCGAUUUGGCAUCAUGUUACAGUUAAAUAUUUAUAGGAUAUGGAUGGGCUCGCGUGACAUUAGCUAGUUGGUGAGGUAACGGCUCACCAAGGCGAAGAUGUCUAGGGGCUCUGAGAGGAGAAUCCCCCACACGGGUACUGGGACACGGACCAGACUCCUACGGGAGGCAGCAGUAAGGAAUAUUGGUCAAUGGGCGGAAGCCUGAACCAGCCAUGCCGCGUGCAGGACGACUGCCCUAUGGGUUGUAAACUGCUUUUGUCGAGGAAUAAACCUAUCUACGUGUAGAUAGCUGAACGUACUCGAAGAAUAAGGAUCGGCUAACUCCGUGCCAGCCGCCGCGGUAA